GUGUCGAUCACUGGAUUGUCUGUUACCGAUUCGAUUAUUUACAGACCGCCGCCAAAUAGCUGGAAUAUUGGGGAGUGCAACGUUAAACAUCAAAGAAACAAAUGAUCGUGUUAAUCUGUGUCACAAUAAGUAUCUAUCAAAAGGUAAUGUAGCGAUGUAAAAUGAUACUAAUGUAUCUGUCGUGUAAAAUUACAUGAACACAAAGAUAAUGCUAUAAUUUCACUCGUCACCUGAGACAAAGCAGCAAAUGAGCAACACAAACAAAUAUGCAAUGAGAAUGCAUAUGUUUGGAAAGAAUCCCCUUAGGUGAUAGUAUC